rnacentral:rRNA from 1 species
AUGGCACGCACACAAAGCAGGAGGAAAUCGGUACCCCGCGAGGCUGGCGAAGUCGGCACAAGAAGUAGGCGGAGUAGAGGCAGCAGUUGCGGGCUCAGGUGCGGCAAUCGCAAUCAAUAUUCCCGUCUGGGGUUGGCGGAGUUGGUAGAAAGCACGGUUGGCGAUAAGCUGGUACUAGUUUCAUUCUUUCUAUUCCAAAAUCCAAUACCCGGAACUGACUAG